CACGUAGGGUGCGAGCGUUGUCCGGAAUUAUUGGGCGUAAAGAGCUCGUAGGCGGUGUGUCGCGUCGGCCGUGAAAACCUGCAGCUUAACUGUGGGCGUGCGGUCGAUACGGGCAUCACUGGAGUUCGGCAGGGGAGACUGGAAUUCCUGGUGUAGCGGUGAAAUGCGCAGAUAUCAGGAGGAACACCAGUGGCGGAAGGCGCCACUCUGGGCCGUAACUGACGCUGAGGAGCGAAAGCGUGGGUAGCAAACAGG
rnacentral:rRNA from 1 species